rnacentral:rRNA from 1 species
CUGGGUUUGACAUAUACGUAGUAGGGAACUGAAAAGGGACCGACCUUCGGGAGCGUAUACAGGUGCUGCAUGGCUGUCGUCAGCUCGUGCCGUGAGGUGUUCGGUUAAGUCCGCAAACGAGCGCAACCCCUGGUGCUAGUUACACGUGUCUAGCGCAACUGCCCGUGAGAAACGGGAGGAAGGUGGGGAUGACGUCAAGUCAGCAUGGCCUUUAUAUCCAGGGCUACACACACGCUACAAUGGGCGGUACAAUGGGUCGCGAAGUCGCGAGAUGGAGCCAAUCCUGAAAGCCGUUCGUAGUUCGGAUUGCAGGCUGCAACUCGCCUGCAUGAAGUCGGAGUUGCUAGUAACCGCAGGUCAGCUAUACUGCGGUGAAUACGUUCCC